GACGAACGCUGGCGGCGUGCUUAACACAUGCAAGUCGAACGGAAAGGCCCUGCUUUUGUGGGGUGCUCGAGUGGCGAACGGGUGAGUAACACGUGAGUAACCUGCCCUUGACUUUGGGAUAACUUCAGGAAACUGGGGCUAAUACCGGAUAGGAGCUCCUGCUGCAUGGUGGGGGUUGGAAAGUUUCGGCGGUUGGGGAUGGACUCGCGGCUUAUCAGCUUGUUGGUGGGGUAGUGGCUUACCAAGGCUUUGACGGGUAGCCAGCCUGAGAGGGUGACCGGCCACAUUGGGACAGAGAUACGGCCCAGACUCCUACGGGAGGCAGCAGUGGGGAAUAUUGCACAAUGGGCGGAAGCCUGGUGCAGCAACGCCGCGUGCGGGAUGACGGCCUUCGGGUUGUAAACCGCUUUCGCCUGUGACGAAGCGUGAGUGACGGUAAUGGGUAAAGAAGCACCGGCUAACUACGUG
rnacentral:rRNA from 1 species